rnacentral:rRNA from 1 species
UACGAAGGGUGCAAACGUUGCUCGGAAUUAUUGGGCGUAAAGCGCACGUAGGCGGCUUAGCAAGUCGGAAGUGAAAGCCCUCGGCUCAACCAAGGAAGUGCUUUCGAAACUGCUGAGCUUGAGUACUUAAGAGGAUCGCGGAAUUCCCGGUGUAGAGGUGAAAUUCGUAGAUAUCGGGAGGAGCACCAGUGGCGAAGGCGGCGAUCUGGGAAGAUACUGACGCUGAGGUGCGAAAGCGUGGGGAGCAAACAGG